CGUAGGUGGCAAGCGUUAUCCGGAUUCACUGGGCGUAAAGCGCACGCAGGCGGUGAGGUAGGUAGGGCAUGAAAGCGCCUGGCUUAACUGGGCGAGGCUGUCCUAUACCACCCCACUUGAGGAUAGGAGAGGGACGUGGAACUGCCGGUGUAGUGGUGAAAUGCGUAGAGAUCGGCAAGAACACCAGUGGCGAAGGCGGCGUCCUGGCCUAUUCCUGACGCUCAGGUGCGACAGCUAGGGGAGCGAACGGGAUUAGAAACCCCGGUAGUCCUAGCCGUAAACGAUGGGGACUAGGUGUCGGGGGUAUUGACCCCCUCGGUGCCGAAGCCAACGCGUUAAGUCUCCCGCCUGGGGACUACGGCCGCAAGGUUA
rnacentral:rRNA from 1 species